GCAUUCCUGACCGGCAUCUGGCGAGGCUCAUGCGUCCCGUGAGGGCGGUUCCUCGAGCCGCGGGGCGCUCAGAUUGCUUUGGAGACGCUGAGAGAACCUUUGCGAGAGCGCCGGUUGACGUGCGGAGUGCGGGGCUCCGGGGGACUGAGCAGCACGAGACCCCAUCCUCCCCUCCGGGUUUUCACACUGGGCGAAGGGAGGACUCCUGAGCUCUGCCUCUUCCAGUAACAUUGAGGAUUACUGUGUUUUGUGAGAGCUCGCUAGGCGCCCUAAGCAACAGAGAGUCAAGCGUCAGCCUCACUGUUCCUCCUGUCGUAAAGCUGGAGAACGGCAGCUCGACCAGCGUCAGCGUCACCCUGCGGCCACCAUUAAAUGCAACCCUGGUGAUCACUUUUGAAAUCACAUUUCGUUCCAAAAAUAUUACUAUCCUUGAGCUCCCCGAUGAAGUCGUGGUGCCUCCUGGAGUGACAAAUUCCUCUUUUCAAGUGACAUCUCAAAAUGUUGGACAAGUUACUGUUUAUCUCCAUGGAAAUCACU
rnacentral:sRNA from 1 species